rnacentral:lncRNA from 1 species
UUGUGUGCAUUUGAUACGCUGAAAGUUUAGGAGCUGUAGUUGAUCUGUAUCACCGCAGUUUGUUGGCGGUAGAUAUUUGGGAUAGUGUAGAAUACAGUUACGCUCGUGCGGAGAUGCCGAGCUUAUUUUUAUAGCAAUGUAUAGACUGUUUCGGACUGUCGGGUGCCGUUAGGAUUGACGGUGGACUCAGCUUGCGGGUUUUGCAUCAGUUUGUGCCGAGGGUACGUGAGUUUUGAUUGUUAGACCGGUUGGACCCUAUUUACUUGAUCAUAGCCUGUUAGAGCCUGAUUGAGCUCAGUAGAGAUACGCUUGCAUACUCGGUUUGGUAGCGCCCACGAGUGCCACUCCUGAGUCGGG